AAGAGUGAUUGGGAUAAGCUAUGUCUGUGCAGAGCAGAGGUAACUUCUGUGGUGGGGCUAAGUGCCUAGGAAAGUCAUCCUGGACUUGCUAUUCCUGAAAACUAAAUGAGGUAACAGUGAACAGAACUGGUUAAAUGAGGACUGGCUGAGAAGGGUUAGUAGUGGCUGCUAAUGAGAAGCCUUUGAGAAGCCGUCUGAUUGCCUCAGUCCAGUCCCACCAUCUUGACAUCUGGGCUGUCGUUGCUGAUCUCCUCCGUAGGACCACCGAUGGAAUGGGUCAUUGACAGGAAACAAAAUGUCUAAAGAUGGCGCCCACCCAGACAAAAGUGGGGCACGUCUGUGAGACAUGAUUCCAAAGGUGAGCUGCAGCCCACGCUGUACGUUCCUCUGUGGAUAAUCAGAGGACUUCAGUCUCUUGGGCUUUCACUCCAGACCCUUGCGGGGCUCAGGGAACACAGACUUUCCUUCUGCCUCAGAAUAUGAGCAAUGUAAAAAUGUCAGUGAAAAAGUAAUACAGCCCAGGCAGUAACAUUGUCCCAAUGCAACUACACUGGUUCUCUGAGCCAUAGACUGAUGAUGUAUUUUCCUGCAGCCCCAAAAGAAGGAACCACCUGUAGGUCCAGUGAUAUAGUGGUCUGUUACUCCUUCCCUUCUCAGCAACAGCUUGUGGACUAGCAGUAAGUGCUUCUAGGUAAGCCAUGCAGGAUUUUAAAUCUAUUUUGUAUCUGAAUCUUCCAGGAUCGUUGGCUACAGCUAAGGCCAAAAGAUGUUACACUCCUGGGCUUCGGCUGUUAAACUGAU